UACAGAGGGUGCAAGCGUUAAUCGGAAUUACUGGGCGUAAAGGGCGCGUAGGUGGUUGUUUAAGUUGACUGUGAAAUACCCGGGCUUAACCUGGGGGUGUCAGUCAAGACUGGACGGCUAGAGUAGGAUAGAGGGAAGUGGAAUUUCCGGUGUAGCGGUGAAAUGCGUAGAUAUCGGAAGGAACACCAGUGGCGAAGGCGGCUUCCUGGAUCCAUACUGACACUGAGGCGCGAAAGCGUGGGGAGCAAAC
rnacentral:rRNA from 1 species